GUGUACGUACGACCAGGAGGGGCUCCAAGGAGCCAAACCCUAACUUGAUCAAUUACAUCAAAUUGACGAUGGAUUCUAGCCUCAAAUCAUUGCAUGAACACAAAUUCGUGAUCACCUAAGCUAGGAGAUCACAAGUUUGACGCUUGACAAGCUCGGUGGGAGCUUGUGGAUGAAGCGGGUCAAACGGAUCAAGAACGGAAGGAAAAGCAUGGCAUGGAUGCGAGGUACCUUUGGGAUGCCGGAAGACGAUCAAGCUCAGCGAAGAACCGAACACGAUAUAG